rnacentral:rRNA from 1 species
UACGUAGGGUGCAAGCGUUGUCCGGAAUUAUUGGGCGUAAAGAGCUCGUAGGCGGUUUGUCGCGUCUGCUGUGAAAACUCGGGGCUUAACCCCGGGCCUGCAGUGGGUACGGGCAGACUAGAGUGCGGUAGGGGAGACUGGAAUUCCUGGUGUAGCGGUGGAAUGCGCAGAUAUCAGGAGGAACACCAAUGGCGAAGGCAGAUCUCUGGGCCGUAACUGACGCUGAGGAGCGAAAGCAUGGGGAGCGAACAGG